rnacentral:rRNA from 1 species
AACUGAGGUGAUCAGAGUGAAAUAGAACCUGAAACCAUUUGCUUACAAUCAUUCAGAGCCCUAUGUAGCAAUACAGGGUGAUGGACUGCCUUUUGCAUAAUGAGCCUGCGAGUUGUGGUGUCUGGCAAGGUUAAGCAAACGCGAAGCCGUAGCGAAAGCGAGUCUGAAUAGGGCGCUUAGUCAGAUGCUGCAGACCCGAAACGAAGUGAUCUAUCCAUGAGCAAGUUGAAGCUAGUGUAAGAACUAGUGGAGGACUGAACCCAUAGGCGUUGAAAAGCCCCGGGAUGACUUGUGGAUAGGGGUGAAAGGCCAAUCAAACUUCGUGAUAGCUGGUUCUCUCCGAAAUAUAUUUAGGUAUAGCGUUGUGUCGUAAUAUAAGGGGGUAGAGCACUGAAUGGGCUAGGGCAUACACCAAUGUACCAAACCCUAUCAAACUCCGAAUACCUUAUAUGUAAUCACAGCAGUCAGGCGGCGAGUGAUAAAAUCCGUCGUCAAGAGGGAAACAACCCAGACUACCAGCUAAGGUCCCUAAAUCUUACUUAAGUGGAAAACGAUGUGAAGUUACUUAAACAACCAGGAGGUUGGCUUA